rnacentral:rRNA from 1 species
UCGGGAAUUUUGGGCAAUGGGCGAAAGCCUGACCCAGCAACGCCGCGUGAAGGAUAAAAUCCUUCGGGAUGUAAACUUCGCAAGAACGGGAAGAAUAAGUAAGAGCUAACAUCUCUUAUGAUGACGGUACUGUUUGUAAGCUCCGGCUAACUCCGUGCCAGCAGCCGCGGUAAUACGGGGGGAGCAAGCGUUGUUCGGAUUUACUGGGCGUAAAGGGCGCGUAGGCGGCCACCGCAAGUCAGUUGUGAAAUCUCUGGGCUUAACCCAGAAAGGUCAACUGAUACUGCGGGGCUAGAGUGCAGAAGGGGCAACUGGAAUUCUCGGUGUAGCGGUGAAAUGCGUAGAUAUCGAGAGGAACACCUGCGGCGAAGGCGGGUUGCUGGGCUGACACUGACGCUGAGGCGCGAAAGCUAGGGGAGCGA